rnacentral:rRNA from 1 species
AUACGUAGGGAGCGAGCGUUGUCCGGAAUUACUGGGUGUAAAGGGAGCGUAGGCGGGAGUGCAAGUCAGAUGUGAAAUACAUGGGCUCAACCCAUGGGCUGCAUUUGAAACUGCAUUUCUUGAGUGAAGUAGAGGUAAGCGGAAUUCCUGGUGUAGCGGUGAAAUGCGUAGAUAUCAGGAGGAACACCGGUGGCGAAGGCGGCUUACUGGGGGUGUAGUGACUCUGAGGCUCUAAAGUGUGGGGAGCAAACAAGAUUAGAUACCCUGGUAGUCCACGCUGUAAACGAUUAUUACUAGGUGUGGGGGGACUGACCCCUUCCGUGCCGCAGUUAACAAAAUAAGUAUUCCGCCUGGGGAGUACGGCCGCAAGGUUGAAACUCAAAUAAAUUGACGUG